CCGUAGUAUGGUGAUUCAUAGUAACUGAUCGAAUCGCAUGGCUUUAAGCUGGCGAUGGUUCAUUCGAAUUUCUGCCCUAUCAACUUUCGAUGGUAGGAUAGGGGCCUACCAUGGUUUUAACGGGUAACGGAGAAUUAGGGUUCGAUUCCGGAGAGGGAGCUUUGAGAGAUGGCUACCACAGCUAAGGCAGGCAGCAGGCGCGCAAAUUACCCAAUCCUGACACGGGGAGGUAGUGACAAUAAAUAACAAGACAGAGCUCUAUGAGUUUUGUCAUUGGAAUGAGAACAAUUUAAAUCUCUUAACGAGGAACAAUUGGAGGGCAAGUCUGGUGCCAGCAGCCGCGGUAAUUCCAGCUCCAAUAGCGUAUAUUAAAGUUGUUGCAGUUAAAAAGCUCGUAGUCGAAUUUUGGGUUUGGCUGGGUGGUCGACCGCGAGGUUAGCACUGCUCUGGUUGAGCUCGAAUUGCUUGGGGAAUCUUUGUGCUCUUAGUUGAGUGCAUAGGGGAACCAGGACUUUUACUGUGAAGAAAUUAGAGUGUUUAAAGCGGGCAUAAGCUUGAAUACAUUAGCAUGGAAUAAUAGAAUAGGACUUCUGUCUUAUUUUGUUGGUUUCUAGGAUGGAAGUAAUGAUUAAUAGGGAUAGUUGGGGGCAUUAGUAUUUAAUUGUCAGAGGUGAAAUUCUUGGAUUUAUGAAAGACUAACUUCUGCGAAAGCAUUUGCCAAGGAUGUUUUCAUUGAUCAAGAACGAAAGUUAGGGGAUCGAAGACGAUCAGAUACC
rnacentral:rRNA from 1 species